rnacentral:rRNA from 1 species
GCGCACGGGUGAGUAACGCGUGGGGACCUACCUCUUAGUGGGGGAUAACGGUUGGAAACGACCGCUAAUACCGCAUACGCCCUUCGGGGGAAAGAUUUAUCGCUAAGAGAUGGACCCGCGUUGGAUUAGAUAGUUGGUGAGGUAACGGCUCACCAAGUCAGCGAUCCAUAGCUGGUUUGAGAGGAUGAUCAGCCACACUGGGACUGAGACACGGCCCAGACUCCUACGGGAGGCAGCAGUGGGGAAUAUUGGACAAUGGGGGCAACCCUGAUCCAGCCAUGCCGCGUGAGUGAAGAAGGCCUUCGGGUUGUAAAGCUCUUUCAGAUGCGAAGAUGAUGACGGUAACAUC